AAUAAUGAUGCCAUUAUUUCGAAUUACUGAAAUUCACUAUUUUAUUUUCUUAAUUUCACUUCUUGAUCCAAGUUUCCAUCUAUGUUGUUCGGAUUCUCUAAAAAUGUCAUCGCAUCCAUGUCUUGAUUCUUCAAAAAAGCAAUAUUUCUGAAGAAUUCACUUCGAAUCUGACCACAUUUUUGAAAAAUCCGAGCAAUAAAUAUAGAUUUCAUUCCGAAUUUCAAAAGAAGAAAAAAAGAAGACGCACUACCUUUUCUAUAAAGUUUUGGCAUAGUAUUAAUACUGUUUUUGUGACACAAAUCUAGACAUAUACUGACGUAUUGUUAUUAUUACAUAUAUAUAGAAAAAAAUGUGAUCUCCAGGAAUUUGGAAGUCACUAUCAUCUACUUUAACUUGAGGCUCCCACUAGUUAUAUAUAAAUUAUUUAUUCUUUAAAAAGAAGAAUAUUAAUUAAAUCACCGAAGAUAAUUACAUGUAACUGUCCAUAACCAGGGGUAUGUGUUAAGUAUUUUAUGUUCGCGGACGAAAUGAGUUGUUAUAAUCUUCUUAUUUAAGGGCAACUUUUAACUUAUGAGCUAGUUUUGGAAAUUAAGUUUGGGCACUAUAUAAUGUUUAUUUCUUAUUAUAGUAUCAGAGUCUGUACGAUCCAUUCCUAUUUUUUGGUUAUUUAUUUCGUAUUGGUUCUCAAUGUUAUAUUGUCCACACUCCAGUUGUUCAGUCUUGAGGGUGUGUGAGGAUGUGUUACAUACAUAUUGAUGGAGGAAACGGAUCGUUUGGGCAAUCAUAAUCCUUUAUGCUAGUUUUUUAGAUUGAGUUAUGUCCGACGUUUAUAGUCUAUAUGAGACUCGGACUUGUUCCUAUGUUUUGGUUAUUUACUAAAUGUUUGAUGUCAAUAUUAUGUUUGUCCACGCCCUAGAUGUUCAAUCCUGGGCAUACUUUCAGAAAGUGUUAAUGUCACACAUAUUGUCUGAGGAAAUGAAUCGUUAUCUCCUUAUAAUGGUUUCGUGCAAUCAUAACCUUUUAAGCUAGUUUUUGAGAUUGAGUUAGGCCCAACGUUCAUUUCUUAUUGAUAAAUGGGAGAUAUGCUAUGUUGUGACUAGUUAUUUUAUUCUUCUCUAUGCUUUCAUGUUUUGGGAUUGAGUUAGGUCCGACCUUAAUUAUUAUUUUCUACUUCAAAAAAUGGUGCAUGGUACCUACUAUUAUUCUUUCCAAUGCUAUAAUAAUUCUAUUCAUUGUCUGUAUAUAUAUAUUAACAAAGCUGAGUUUUUGAUUUGGUAAUAGCUAAUUUGAGUUUUCCCAAGGAGGAUUAGUUGGUGACUUUUUUGUAGUACGGUGGCUAAGACUCAGAUAGACUACUUACUCCUUAGACAGUGUGAUAGAAAUUUAUCCCGAGUGAGUAUCUUAUAACUCAACAUAAGCUUUUAGCAAUGGAUUUAGAGAUUAAGAGGAAGAAAAAGCGGAGGGCUUUGUAUGACUUGUCGAGGAUUAAAUGAGGUGGCUGACUACUAAUAGAACUACGCGAUGGGAGAGAAGUUGAUGACGAUGAGGGCUUGGGGGAGUAGUGGGGAUGCAAAUAGAAUGUGGGAUUGGACAACUAAUUGCAUUAGGGAAUUAAGUAGCUAGAGAGGUGUUGAGGGUCUCGAGAGGUAAAUAAUGUAGGUGGACAUCGAGGGAAUUGGUAGUGGAAUGGAGCGGUCCAAGGAAAAGUUGAAUAUGAGAAGUGGUAUAUUGUUGUUGUGGGAUUACACAGGGUAUGUUGUUCUGGCAUGGAGUGGUCAGCUGUCAAUGUAUCUGAGCCCACAUUUUCAAGAACAAUAUCACCAGCAACUUCUUCCAGCUUUGAUAGAAGUAUUUGAUGAUUUGAUAUUCCUCGAAUCAAACUUAUCCAUUAUAUUUUGAAACCUUACCAGCAUGAGAAAGUGAGUGAAUUAGUCGCGUUUCUACAGAUAAUGUCACAUUUACCAAUCUACAACAUGUUUAUUCGUUCACGUGUAUAUGAGUAAAUGACAUAAGCUUUUAUCUGUCAUAUCUUGUUUCAUCACAGGUACUUUACUUUCCGGGGUUCAAAAUGAGCAUUUUUUUUUUGGUUUUAAGUCUCUGGUGUUCUUGAUCUAAACUUCAUUUGCUCGGGAUACUGCAGAGGACUCUGCAUAUGUAUAUGAUUCUAUAAUGCUUUUAUCUGUACGCUAUCUUGGUAACUGCUACUGAAGAUACAAGUCGAAUGCUUCUUGCCAAAUCCUUCGAAUGCAUUACCUUGAUUAUGUUGAAAAGGUGAAUAAAGUUUCUAUCUUUACGUCUCCUUUAAGAAGGCAUCGUAUAAUUAUACUGUUUCCUGGAGCUGUCGAUUAACUUACUAAGAACCAUAUAGACAAUGCAAAUGCUUAGGGGCAGAUUUCAUUCCUCAUUUGAGUGUUCCCAAUAAUUCAAAUGAUGAAAGGUUCGAUCUUCCUAUAACACUCGUAUGAAGUUUCACUUAAAAUGCUUGUCAUAUGUAUUAGUCACAUUAUGUCUGGAUGUAGAUGGUUGUGAAAUAAGCAACUUAUCGAAUUAGAUGUCUUCAGUACGUUGACAUAGUAAUAUGUCGUGUAGCACGCUUAAUGGGACUAAAAAAAUCGCGAUAAAAAGUGAACUUCUGGAAGAAAAAGCCUUGAUCUGUCAUACCUAACUUGUGGGUUGUUAGUGCUUUAGUAAGAAUGACUGCUAUUUCUGCAAUGCCAUUACUGUUAAACUCAGCUCCUUGUGCUACGAAGAAAGGGCGUCCUGUAACAGGUUGUUAAGUCCCUAGUUCAAACGAUCUCUAACACUAUAGUCCCAGCUUUGCUUGACGCGUUAAAAUAAGGAGUUAAAGGUACAAGUUUAAGCAAGACUAUUGGAGGCGUUGAACGAAAACAUUCAGAGUAAUGAUAGAACAGCAGAAGAAAAGAAGAACUAUAGUACACCUUUUCCGCGAUAUUGCUGAGCAGUAUCGAGAAGAAGUAUUCAGGCAAGUCUUACGCGAUUUUCAAUGUCUUAUCAGUCAUGAUCAUAAGCACAUUUGGCUUAACUGAGCGUCGUUGUUGAUUAUUAGGCUUAGCUGAACCUCGCUAAAAAACUGUAACGUAGCAUUGUAAUGCCAAAAACCCGGACAACAUCAUGGCUUACGAGGCUGCUGUUAAACCAGUUUGUCUCUGAAGGCAUCUACAUCUAUGAGGUAGAACACAUAACAAACACUCGAUGACUCGAUACAAGACAUUUAUCGAAUGACAUAGUAUAAACGUUCUUGUUUAAUGAUGGAGAGGCAAGUAUUCCUCGUAGGCUAUAGCAUUAAGCAAUCAAUAAUUAUCAAAACAUCAACAUUUCUUAUA